rnacentral:rRNA from 1 species
UGGGGAAUAUUGCACAAUGGGCGCAAGCCUGAUGCAGCAACGCCGCGUGAGUGAUGAAGGCCUUCGGGUCGUAAAACUCUGUCCUAGGGGAAGAAACAAAUGACGGUACCCUGGGAGGAAGCCCCGGCAAACUACGUGCCAGCAGCCGCGGUAAUACGUAGGGGGCAAGCGUUAUCCGGAAUCACUGGGCGUAAAGGGUGCGUAGGCGGUUUAACAAGCCAGAGGUGAAAGGCAUUAGCUCAACUAAUGUAAGCCUUUGGAACUGUUUAACUUGAGUACAGGAGAGGUAAGUGGAAUUCCUAGUGUAGCGGUGAAAUGCGUAGAUAUUAGGAGGAACACCAGUGGCGAAGGCGACUUACUGGACUGAAACUGACGCUGAGGCACGAAAGCGUGGGGAGCA